CUUGAAAAUUAGCAGACUUUAUCCUAUAUUUUUAAUGUAAUUAAGUGUACUAGCACAUAAAAAUUUGAUUUUUAAGGACUUAAAAU
rnacentral:tRNA from 1 species